UGUUAAAUAAUUUAAGUUGGCUGGCAAACCUUCUAAACAGGAGUAUUUAUAAAAUUAAUAUUUGCACAAGUACAUUAAACAUUUCAGACCUCCAAAAUCUGGAUAAUUCAUUUAUCUUAAAAAAGUUUCUUAAGAAAAAUAUAUAUAUAUAAAGAUAUAAAGAAAAAAAGGAAGAAGUAAAAAAACGUACUUGGAAAUUUGAAUAUUGUGUAAAUCACUUACUUUGUUUUUACUGUAACAAAUUUUUACAUUUUAAAUAGGCGGAAUAACUAAGACGAGUCUUUAGAUAUGCGCGAGUGAUUGAGAUAAAAUAAUUGUUUUAAGGCCAAAUAUGUUCUAUAAUCAAUACGACUAUAGGUCGCGUCAUAUGGACAAGAAUUAUUAUUUUACGAAAACUGAUGAAAGUAAAAAGGGGGACUAUGAUAUAUUACGAAUAAAUCACGACGAGACGGAUAGACAGACGGGUGAAUACAUCGAUGACCCGGAUGAACACGAUGAUUACGGUAGGGAUAAAUUACCUCGUACACGAGAAUCACGUGCCAGAGGAAAACAAGUUCACGUAUUAGUAACGCAUUGGUCUGGAUGAAUAGGUCAGGGUGUCUGUGACAAUCUUCGACUAGCAAUAGAAGAUAACUAUGACGAAGAAGACGUUUCAUUUGAACAGAGAAAAGGCGCAAUAAAUUCCUUUGAGGUGUACGUCAACGACAGUUUAAUGUAUUCAAGACUUCGGAACGGCGGUUACCCAUACGAAGAUGACGUAUUGCUUGCAAUAGAGAAAGCCCAGCGAGGACACGAAGUCAAACUUGUUAGAAGCGGAAAGUCAAUUCUCUGUUCGAUUCUUUAGAGGUGAUGACGUCACAGAUUCCCUGCACGAGACAUUAUCCUUCGGGAGAAAAAAACAACAAUAGUUUAUAGAU